GUCUACGGCCAUGCCACCCUGAACAAGCUCGAUCCCGUCUGAUCUUGGAAGCUAAGCAGGAUCGGGCCUGGUUAGUACUUGGAUGGGAGACCACCUAGGAAGACCAGGUGCUGUAGGUG
rnacentral:rRNA from 1 species